GUAGGGCCUUUUUUUUUUGAAGUUAGGAGAGCCUUUUUCCAGAAUGAAACAUCUGAAAUCUCCAACCAGAUCUAGACUAACUGAUGCACACUUGCAUCACUUGUUACGACUAGCAGUGACAAACAUGGAACUGGACAUUGACCAUCUCAUUAGCCAAAAGCAGGCCCAUAGUUCCCAUUGAAAUACUGGUAGUGACAGGCAGCCCGGACCCAUUGGUUGCCCAGUUUCUGUUCCAGAGCACCACAGCGAAGGGAUUUGUGGUCUUCUUGCUGGUGGAGGGUGUUGACUUCAAUAUGUAAAGAACUGAACAUCUGUGAAGCUCAACAAAGUGAAGUGCAACACAGUGAGCAACUUACAGGGCUGCUGCUUGGAUAUUUAGUCAUGCUUUUAAGGCCAACUUUUCAACACUGGAAAAAUAAAUAAGAUCAAAAUGAAACUUCAUCUUAGAAGGAUGGGGCAACAAAGAACUGGGCCCCAGAGCAUCUUUUUGAGGGGCCAGAGAAUCUGAGCCCUUCAGAGAUAAAAGAAACAAAAGCUGUCAAGGGAAGAAAGACUGUCUUCUAGGAACAUUUUUCUUUUCUUUUUUAAAAAAUUUUUUAUUGAAUUUAUUGGUAUGAUAUUGGUUAAUAAAAUUAUAUAGGUUUCAAG